GAACAAAAGAUAAGUUUAUUGUAGGUGGGGUGAGGAAGCAGUCUAUUCUCUGUAAAUCUGAUGAUGUCUUUCACCACUCAUUUGGCUCACAGCAUCUAUGUCCUCAGCAUCACCUUCUAGAAAUGCAGACUCUCAGCCUCUGCCCCCAAUCAACUGAAUUAGAUCCUCCUCUGGCAAGACCCUUGAGGGAUAUGGAUACAUAGCAAAGGUCUUGACAGUGAAGAUAAAGACCAAGAAGAGGACUCACGGGGCCCGUUGACCUGGAUGCCUCCUGAAAGAGUUUUGACUUUGGAACUGCUGAAGAUGUAGGAGCAGAAGUCUGCAGCUUGUUGCACAAAUUCGGAGUCCAGCUCGUCGUCGUGCAUGGUCUCCAGUUCGCUUAGCUUCUUCCGGAUGCAGGAGGCACUCGGGAGUUCCUAAAUACCCUUUCAUUAGAAGCAAAGGAGUUACGGUAACGUGAAACUGAAAGCACUGAGAAAAAGGCAAUGGCGCAACAACCAUAAAAGGAAUUCCUGAAAGCUGUGCGAAUGGAUUUCACAAAAUAUCUCAGCUAGUUCAAUUUCACAAAAGCUCCACCCCUGUUGUAGGCUGGUCAAAGACGAAGCACUUCCACCUGGGAAAGAACUUCCUGAUACACUCUCUAGGCAUGUUGGAUUUCUGGAUUUGGGGAUCCUCGCCUAUGAAAAAGAAAAAGAGCAGGGAUUGGCGAGGAGGCACGGAGGUCGAAGACUUUCAUUUCCAGGGAUCUUUGCAUCAUUUUAUAUCUGGUGCUUGUAAAUCUCCUUUUAUUUAAUCAUGCAAAUCAACCUAAUGCUCAUCUACCCAAAGUGCAGACAUUUCAUUUAUUUAUCCUUUUUUCCAGAGUCAGGAGUAAAGGAAGUACUUCUGGAAAAGGAGGAGGGGCAUCUGUCCCAAGGGAAGAAACUGUUUGUUUUCCUUAGUUCUUCCACAGUGUCCAGUGGCUUGACUAUUAGCUAUUUCUGAAUGAUAGAUUAAUCUCCCAAAUUGUCAGAAAUACUUUUGAUAUUACAGUCCUCAUGUGAGAAACGAAAUGUGGGCUCUAAAGUGAGAGUGAAUUUUUUCCUGGUAGAAAUAAGGAUAUUUAUGAUACUUCUGGGAAAAGUUUUAUGUGAAGAACAGACAAUACUCAGAACAAUAAAGAAAAACUAAAAAUCAGAGUUAGAAAAGUACACACAAUAUAAAUAUGUUCAGAGAUUUUUUAGCAGACACCAUCAAAAAGUAAGGCUAACCUAAUGCUACUUGGAGACCUCACCUGUUCUGUAUAUCAGAUUAUAUUGAAUGUGACAACGUUGCACAGAGGGAUUCUGGGCAUAUAUCAGCUGUUCAAUAAGUGAUUCUUGUGUGAAUAAGUAAAUGAUUAAAUAAGCAAAAAUAAACUUGCUUCUAGGUACCACCUAUUAUUCUCUCUGCUAAAUGUACUCUCUGAAAUGAAUUUAUUAUAUCAACAGGGCAAAAUAUUGUAUGAGGCUACAGAAUGAAGAGAGUGAUGUUAUGAAAAACAGAUAAUAAAGGAUUUGGCCUUCUUA